UUGAUGAUGGUGGUGUUGAUGGUGGUGAUGGUGGUGUCCUUCCUAUCGCUCUUAACACUCCAUGUCUUUUGUUACUUGCCAGAACUUCUUGUUAAUUUGUUCCUUUGUUUUGCCCUCAUUUGUACGUGUUCUCCUUAGUUUUCUUUUCUAUAUCCUUGAUUGUGUAUUCGUUUGUUUGUUUGUGUGUAUCCAAUAUUUACUCCUCCAAUCCUUUGUCUACAUGUUUGAUAAUGUGUAUGUAUGUGCGUAUGUUUCGAAGUAUAUAUUUAAUACCUACAGGUUCUGCUCUUCCCUGCUGCCUAUUGUAGUGUCCUUCUUCCCCUGCUGCAUUCUCCUUUGUUUGAUAAGUGUUCUAUAUUCCAGUUCCUCCGUUUCUUUCUUUGUCCUUUACUUCAUAUUUUUCACGGUUUCUUUUCUAUCAUUCUUUCUCGUUUAUUUUACGCUUCUCGCCGUUUCUUUGUUUCGUGCUUUCCCUUCGUUUCGUUUCCCUCUCAUUCUUUGUUUCCCUUUUCUCCAGUCAGACAUAUUUCCCCCAUUUUUAUCGCGUUUCGCUUAUUCCUUUGUCCCUUUCUCCUCCUAGAUUCGUUUCUGUACACCUUAUUAUCGCAUAGGUUCUACAAGGUUCUUUAUUAACGCAUUCUUAUUAUCACUGUUUUGCUGGGAGGGGGGACGGAAGAACUGAGAAAUGUCUGCUUGAUCCUCGUCAGACUUUUCUUUGUUCAUUCUCACGUUGUUUCACUCAAAUUAUUUCUUGAUGCUUAUAUUUUGGUGUGACUUUCAGUAAUCAAUCAUAGUCUACCUUAUGUUGCAUCGAUUUUUGUUUUAGUUUCUUACAUUCCUUUGUCUCCAGACCCCUUUCUGUUGCUAAUUAUUGCUUCACUACAGAACUAAAUAAUUAUAGUUUCAUAUGUACGUGUUAUUUUUUUCUCGCUUGUAUUGUGAAGUGAUUAACUUGUCAAAUUACCGACAAUAACAAUGCAUAAAAGUUAUAAUUAUAAUGUCCUCCUACACAUCGUGCGCGCCGGUAUGUGUGUGUGUGUGUGUGUGUGUGUGUGUGUGUGUGUGUGUGUGUGUGUGUGUAAUAUCAUCAUCAUCAUCAGUAUUUUGUUACCGAGCAUCUGCAGUUAGGUCAUAGUUUGGCCAUAUUCAUUUUGCCAAUGUAUAUAACACUGCAACUAUGUUUUCUGCGUCAACAGACAUUAUUCACUCGUUUUGCUGUUAGUUUUUUUUACAGUCAUAUUGCUACGGCAUUUUGUUUCUGCCGCACUGGUCAGCGUCCUUCAGUUUUAAAUAUCACCUGACCAUCUCGUCCUUCACCCGAAUGUUGAUGCCGCUGCGUCACUUCUAUACUAAACAAAGUCACGUCUCUUAUAACCUCUGUUUUAUUAUCAUUAUUAUUAUUAUUAUUAUUAUUAUUAUUAUUAUUAUUACUUCUGGUGUAUUUUUUCUGCUCUUUUUUAUGAGAUCUCUUUAUUUCAAUUCGCUUUUCAUAUGACGUACAGUGUAGUAAUGUCAUCACCACUACCACCACCAUUGUCAUUACCACCACCACCAUCACUGCCGUUACCACCUCCAUUAUCAUCAGUGUUACAGUUAGACUUAGCAAAAGGCAACAAAAGCCAGAAUUGUAUUUAGACAUCAUUUUCUCUUUGCUUACUUGAUUUUCAUUCACAGUUUUCUUCUUAUCUCUUACUUGAGUCUAAUUUUUCAUACCUGCCCAAGCAUUCUUCCUCACCUCUGAUAAGGUAAGAUCUUAUCUAAAUCAACACAAAUAGUACACUCGAGCACACAUAUCUUCCACCUUCCCACUGACACUUCCAUUUUAGCCACAACACCACCACAGUCGCCACCGGAAAGUCUCUGUCCGUGCUAUUGGUGUGAUCAUCAGCGCUACGGUGAAUACAGUAUCAACGUCGCUCAUAUAGAUGGUUUUCACGCCUCGCUUCCCCACGCCGUCUCCUCCUCCUCCUCCUUACUAGGUCUGGCCGAGGGAUCUGCCACCAAAAAAAACGGGUCCGGGUUACAUCACGGCACGCUGGUUGCCGCCGCCACUUGCGUCACAGUAGACCUUUUGUGCCCGAGCUCAGGCCCCGCUGGGAGCGGCGGAGCAGCGGCCGCAGCGAAUGUCAAGCAGCGGGAGUUGACGUACCUGUUGCCAGUGCUCCUCCAGGCUGCAUGCCGAGGAGAAGUAGCCGGUGUCAUGCACCAGCUGCAGCUCCUUGAAGAUGCCGCCGUUGGGCAAUACAUCCAUGAUGGUGAGGAGCCAGUCUAGUUGCGGCCGUGGCUACUCGCCCACUCCCCGCAGGGGGUCUCCGCGCCCUCCGCCACCACUCUCCCCCACCACCACACUCAUCCACCACAACAACACUCCGGCGCACAGACUCACAGACGCUUGAGAAACACCGCCAGAGCCACAGAGAUCCUCUCUCCACCAAGGUAACAAGCACACUCAGCGUACGCUACACACGAGACCCUUCGCGCUCACGUUGGGGGCGGAGCUUAGACGCGCGCGCCAGCCAAUCAUAGCCACGAUAUCUUCCCGCUCAAUCAUAAAAGAAGUUUUCAUUGGUUAAACGGCCAGUAACAUAGUGCCAUAGUGCCUUGCAUCUUCCAAUUAAUUUCAGUACUAUUUUCAUUGAUAUUAAGAAAUGUGAAUUAAGGAUGUUGGCGAUGCGUGGAGACUAGCGGCAACAGAUGCCUAGAUGGUGUAGACCGGCGGCGGCGGCAGCAGCGAGCGUGCAGGCGCCCAGACAGAGUAUCGACGCACUCAUUGAGGGAGAGAGUACAGCAGCAACGGCGGCGGCAGUAGAAACGUGCAACCCUGCAACAACAAGCGGCCCCGCACGCACGCACACUUCAAGGCACUCCUGUCAAUUCGCAGGCAGGCACAGCAUGCACUGUACCUCCACCGUUCCCGCCGCUCCUCCCGGGAUACGCACUCCGUCCCUGUAUUCACCCACGAUUUUCUGUAGGGCAGUACUGAUAGUGCUGCCCCGCCAUGACCCCAGUCUGCCGGCCCCGGACAGACGGACUAAUCAACUUGAAGCUGGCGCUGUGAUGCCCAUUCCCUAUUUUUCAUAAUUAUCUGUAACGAAAAAUCUUAAGUAUU